rnacentral:rRNA from 1 species
CCUACGGGUGGCAGCAGUGGGGAAUAUUGGACAAUGGGGGGAACCCUGAUCCAGCGACGCCGCGUGAGUGAAGAAGUAUUUCGGUAUGUAAAGCUCUAUCAGCAGGGAAGAAAGAAAUGACGGUACCUGACUAAGAAGCCCCGGCUAACUACGUGCCAGCAGCCGCGGUAAUACGUAGGGGGCAAGCGUUAUCCGGAUUUACUGGGUGUAAAGGGAGCGUAGACGGUUACGCAAGUCUGGAGUGAAAGGCGGGGGCCCAACCCCCGGACUGCUUUGGAAACUGUAUAACUUGAGUGCAGGAGAGGUAAGUGGAAUUCCUAUUGUAGCGGUGAACUGCGUCGAUAUUAGGAGGACCCCCAGUGGCGAAGGCGGCUUACUGGACUGUACCUGACGUUGAGGCUCGAAAGCGUGGGGAGCAAACAGGAUUAGAUACCCUUGUAGUC